CUGGCGGCGUGCCUAAUCAUGCUUCCUGAGCGGAAGAAAAGGGAAGCUUGCUCUUCCCAUGUUAGCGGCGGACGGGUGAGUAACACGUGGGUAACCUGCCUGUAAGACUGGUAUCACUCCGGGAAACCGGAGCUAAUACCGGAUAGUUCCUUGAACCGCAUGGUUCAAGGAUGAAAGACGGUUUCGGCUGUCACUUACAGAUGGACCCGCGGCGCAUUAGCUAGUUGGUGGGGUAAUGGCUCACCAAGGCGACGAUGCGUAGCCGACCUGAGAGGGUGAUCGGCCACACUGGGACUGAGACACGGCCCAGACUCCUACGGGAGGCAGCAGUAGGGAAUCUUCCGCAAUGGACGAAAGUCUGACGGAGCAACGCCGCGUGAGUGAUGAAGGUUUUCGGAUCGUAAAGCUCUGUUGUUAGGGAAGAACAAGUGCGAGAGUAACUGCUCGCACCUUGACGGUACCUAACCAGAAAGCCACGGCUAACUACGUGCCAGCAGCCGCGGUAAUACGUAGGUGGCAAGCGUUGUCCGGAAUUAUUGGGCGUAAAGGGCUCGCAGGCGGUUUCUUAAGUCUGAUGUGAAAGCCCCCGGCUCAACCGGGGAGGGUCAUUGGAAACUGGGAAACUUGAGUGCAGAAGAGGAGAGUGGAAUUCCACGUGUAGCGGUGAAAUGCGUAGAGAUGUGGAGGAACACCAGUGGCGAAGGCGACUCUCUGGUCUGUAACUGACGCUGAGGAGC
rnacentral:rRNA from 1 species